rnacentral:rRNA from 1 species
AACUAUAACGGUCCUAAGGUAGCGAAAUUCCUUGUCAGGUAAGUUCUGACCCGCACGAAUGGCGUAAUGAUUUGGGCACUGUCUCAACAGCCCGCCCGGCGAAAUUGUAGUACUGGUGAAGAUGCCAGUUACCCGCAACUAGACGGAAAGACCCCAUGGAGCUUUACUGCAGCUUAAUACUGAAAUUCGGUAGUACAUGUACAGGAUAGGUGGGAGACUGAGAAAUACAGGCGUCAGCUUGUAUGGAGUCGCUGUUGGGAUACCACUCUUGUACUGCUGGGUUUCUAACCUGCGGCCGUGAAUCCGGUCGGGGGACACUGUUAGGCGGGCAGUUUGACUGGGGCGGUCGCCUCCAAAAGAGUAACGGAGGCGCUCAAAGGUUCGUUCAGCACGGACGGAAAUCGUGCAUUGAGUGUAAACGCAUAAACGAGCCUAACUGCGAGACCGACGGGUCGAGCAGUAACGAAAGUUGGAGUUAGUGAUCCGGUGGUAUGUGAGUGGAAAUGCCAUCGCUCAACGGAUAAAAGUUACCCUGGGGAUAACAGGCUGAUCUCCCCCAAGAGUCCACAUCGACGGGGAGGUUUGGCACCUCGAUGUCGGCUCAUCGCAUCCUGGGGCUGUAUUCGGUCCCAAGGGUUUGGCUGUUCGCCAAUUAAAGCGGCACGCGAGCUGGGUUCAGAACGUCGUGAGACAGUUCGGUCCCUAUCUGUUGCGGGCGUAAGAGAUUUGAAGGGAGCUGUCCUUAGUACGAGAGGACCGGGAUGGACGUACCUCUGGUGCACCAGUUGUCCUGCCAAGGGCAUAGCUGGGUAGCUAUGUACGGACGAGAUAAACGCUGAAAGCAUCUAAGCGUGAAACUCCCCCUAAGAUGAGAUCUCUCAUCCUUCAUGGAGUAAGGGCCCAGGAAGACUACCUGGUUGAUAGGCAAGAGGUGGAAGCGCAGUAAUGUGUGUAGCUGACUUGUACUAAUAGCCCGAGGGCUUGACCUA